UAGGCGUCACUUAAUGACCUGCUGUUCAAACUAUGCUCUGCGGACAACAUUAAUAGCCUUCCCUGCAAUUGCUGUGGUUGGCCUCUGUCUGCAUAAUCAUUCAGCUUGAAAUGUUAAUCUGGUUUAUAUUUUACUACCAUAUAAAAGUGUGCCUGGAUCAGGGAAACCUGCAGUGCAAUAACCACAAUAGUGCGUGUUCCUAAAUUAAGCAUCCUUCCUUGCUGCUACACUGCAACUUCACCUGGGGACCUCUGCACUGGAUAAAUACAUGACUGCACAAAAGAAGGUAAAACAGAGCAUAUGGCUUCAUUGGGAUUUAGUUCUAACACUUUCUAAGGAAUUACUGUAGCAUUUCUUUCAGAGAAAAAGAAGUUCUCUUCCUAUCACACACACAAAGAAACUGCUGAGAGAUUUGUGUAAGCUUAUUGCAACUGUCUCCACAUUAUUGAUCCUGUGGCUGUUCUGUAAGGCAAUUG